CCUACGGGUGGCUGCAGUGAGGAAUAUUGGUCAAUGGCCGGAAGGCUGAACCAGCCAAGCCGCGUGAAGGACGAAGGUGCCAAGCAUUGUAAACUUCUAUUGUCAAGGGACAAAAUCAGGAGCGAAAGCCUGACCGAGGGUACUUGAAGCAAAAGCAUCGGCUAACUCAGUGCCAGAAGCCGAGGGAAUACGGAGGAUGCGACGUUUAUUCCGAUUGAUUGGGUUAAAAGGGUGCGUAGGCGGACUGUUAAGUCAGCGGUAAAAGCCCGGGGCGCAACCCCGGCGAGCCGUUGAAACUGGCUGUCGUGAGAUGUCGAGAGGUAUGCGGAAUGCGCAGUGUAGCGGUGAAAUGCUUAGAUAUUGCGCAGAACUCCGAUUGCGAAGGCAGCAUACCGGCGGCGAUCUGACGCUGAGGCACGAAAGCGUGGGUAUCGAACAGGAUUAGAUACCCGAGUAGUC
rnacentral:rRNA from 1 species